UUCAUACUGCUUAUGAACAAUCUGUUAUGUUCUGAAGUAAUUUGUUGUUGUGUGUUUUAUAUUUCUUAUGUACAAUUUGUUCUGUUCUGAAGUAACUUGUAGUUGCAUGUUUUAUACUGCUUAUGUACAAUCUGUUAUGUUCUGAAGUAACUUGUAGUUGUGUGUUUUUUAACUGCUUAUGUACAAUCUGUUAUGUUCUAAAGUAAUUUGUUGUUGUGUGUUUUAUAUUUCUUAUGUACAAUUUGUUCUGUUCUGAAGUAACUUGUUGUUGUGUGUUUUUUUACUGCUUAUGUACAAUUUGUAUGUUCUGAAGUAACUUGUGGUUGUGUGUUUUAUACUGCUUAUGAACAAUCUGUUAUGGUAUGAAGUAACUUGCAAUUGUGUGUUUUAUACUGCUGAUGUACAAUUUGUUAUGGUAUGAAGUAACUUGUAGUUGUGUGUUUUAUACUGCUUAUGUACAAUUUGUUAUGUUCUGAUGUAACUUGUAGUUAUGUGUUUUAUACUGCUGGUGUACAAUCUGUUAUGUUCUGAAGUAAUUUGUAGUUGAGUGUUUUAUACUGCUGGUGUACACUCUGUUAUUUUCUGAAGUAAUUUGUAGUUGUGUGUUUUAUAUACUGCUGGUGUACAAUCUGUUAUGUUCUGAAGUAAUUUGUAGUUUAUUGAGUGUUUUAUACUGCCUUGGUGUACAACUCUGUUAUUUUCUGAAGUAAUUUGUAGUUGAGUGUUUUAUACUGCUGGUGUACACUCUGUUAUUUUCUGAAGUAAUUUGUAGUUUUGUGCUUUAUACUGCUUAUGUACAAUUUGUUAUGUUCUGAAGUAAUUUGUUGUUGUGCUUCAUACUGCUUAUGUACAAUUUGUUAUGUUCUGAUGUAACUUGUAGUUAUGUGUUUUAUACUGCUGGUGUACAAUCUGUUAUGUUCUGAUGUAACUUAUAGUUAUGUGUUUUAUACUGCUGGUGUACAAUCUGUUAUGUUCUGAAGUAACUUGUAGUUUUGUGCUUUAUACUGCAGGUGUACAAUCUGUUAUGUUCUGAAGUAAUUAGUUGUUGUGUGCUUUAUAUUUCUUAAUAUGUACAAUUUGUUCUGUUCUGAAGUAACUUGAAGUUGUGUGUUUUAUACUGCUGGUGUACAAUCUGUUAUGUUCUGAAGUAACUUGUAGUUGUGUUUUAUACUGCAGGUGUGCAACCUGUUAUGUUCUGAAGUAAUUUGUUGUUGUGUGUUUUAUAUUUCUUAUGUACAAUUUGUUCUGUUCUGAAGUAACUUGUAGUUGUGUGUUUUAUAUUUCUUAUGUACAAUUUGUUAUGUUCUGAAGUAACUUGCAGUUGUAUGUUUUUACUGCUGGUGUACAAUUUGUUAUGUUCUGAAGUAAUUUGUUGUUGUGUGUUUUAUAUUUCUUAUGUUCAAUGUGUUCUGUUCUGAAGUAACUUGUUGUUGUGUGUUUUUUUACUGCUGGUGUACAAUCUGUUAUGUUCUUAAGUAAUUUGUUGUUGUGUGUUUUAUAUUUCUUAUGUUCAAUGUGUUCUGUUCUGAAGUAACUUGUAGUUGUGUGUUUUAUACUGCUGGUGUACAAUCUGUUAUGUUCUGAAGUAAUUUGUUGUUGUGUGCUUUAUAUUUCUUAAUAUGUACAAUUUUUCUGUUCUGAAGUAACUUGUAGUUGUGUGUUUUAUACUGCUAGUGUAAAAUCUUUUAUGUUCUGAAGUAACUUGCAGUUGUGUUUUAUACUGCAGGUGUGCAACCUGUUAUGUUCUAAAGUAAUUAGUUGUGUGUUUUUUUACUGCUUAUGUACAAUUUGUACGUUCUGAAGUAACUUGUAGUUGUGUGUUUUAUACUGCUUAUGUACAAUCUGUUAUGGUCUGAAGUAACUUGUAGUUGUGUGUUUUAUACUGCUGAUGUACAAUUUGUUAUGUUCUGAAGUAAUUUGUUGUUGUGUGCUUUAUAUUUCUUAUGUUCAAUCUGUUAUGUUCUGAAGUAAUUUGUUGUUGUGUGUUUUAUAUUUCUUAUGUACAAUUUGUUCUGUUCUGAAGUAACUUGUAGUUGUGUGUUUUAUACUGCUGGUGUACAAUCUGUUAUGUUCUGAAGUAAUUUGUAGUUGUGUGUUUUUAUGUUUGCUUAUGUACAAUUUGUUCUGUUCUGAAGUAACUUGUAGUUGUGUGUUUUAUACUGCUUAUGUACAAUUUGUUAUGUUCUGAAGUAACUUGUAGUUGUGUUUUAUACUGCUUGUGUACAAUUUGUUCUGUUCUGAAGUAACUUGUAGUUGUGUGUUUUAUACUGCUUGUGUACAAUUUGUUCUGUUCUGAAGUAACUUGUAGUUGUGUGUUUUUACUGCUGGUGUACAAUGUUAUGUUCUGAAGUAAUUUAGUGUUUGUUUUAUACUGCUUAUGUACAAUCUGUUAUGUUCUGAAGCAACUUGUUUUUUUAUUUUUUAUACUUCUGUUAUUAUAGUUCUAAAGUAAAUUGUUGUCGUGUGUUUAUGUACAAUAUUCAACAUUUUGAAGUUACUUAUAGUUUUCACUGUUUCACUGUGCUUUAAUUUUAAGUAACAUGUAGUUUUGUGUCUUUUUUUUGUUCAUGUACCAUAAAAGGCUGUAUCUUCAAAUGAUUUUUCUAUGAAUUAUUAAAAUAAGGUAGUUUUGAAUGUGACUAUUUUACUUACAUCUCGAUAAUCAAUGUCUGCACCAUUCUGUAGACAUAAUUUUAAGGCUUCUAUAUCUCCAUCCUCUAGCAGCUGUAGUAAGUUUCUGUAAGUAUAACAUAGAAAUUACAUUUAAUCUUGAUAAUCAAUGUCUGCACCAUUCUGUAGACAUAAUUUUAAAGCUUCUAUAUCUCUAUUCCCAGCAGCUGUAGUAAGUUUCUGUAAGUAAACCAUAAUAAAAAUAUAUUGAAAUGAAUGUCCUUACUG
rnacentral:lncRNA from 1 species